GCAGUCGAGCGAGCUUGCCUAGAUGAAUUUGGUGCUUGCACCAAAUGAAACUAGAUACAAGCGAGCGGCGGACGGGUGAGUAACACGUGGGUAACCUGCCCAAGAGACUGGGAUAACACCUGGAAACAGAUGCUAAUACCGGAUAACAACACUAGACGCAUGUCUAGAGUUUAAAAGAUGGUUCUGCUAUCACUCUUGGAUGGACCUGCGGUGCAUUAGCUAGUUGGUAAGGUAACGGCUUACCAAGGCAAUGAUGCAUAGCCGAGUUGAGAGACUGAUCGGCCACAUUGGGACUGAGACACGGCCCAAACUCCUACGGGAGGCAGCAGUAGGGAAUCUUCCACAAUGGACGCAAGUCUGAUGGAGCAACGCCGCGUGAGUGAAGAAGGGUUUCGGCUCGUAAAGCUCUGUUGGUAGUGAAGAAAGAUAGAGGUAGUAACUGGCCUUUAUUUGACGGUAAUUACUUAGAAAGUCACGGCUAACUACGUGCCAGCAGCCGCGGUAAUACGUAGGUGGCAAGCGUUGUCCGGAUUUAUUGGGCGUAAAGCGAGUGCAGGCGGUUCAAUAAGUCUGAUGUGAAAGCCUUCGGCUCAACCGGAGAAUUGCAUCAGAAACUGUUGAACUUGAGUGCAGAAGAGGAGAGUGGAACUCCAUGUGUAGCGGUGGAAUGCGUA
rnacentral:rRNA from 1 species